rnacentral:rRNA from 1 species
UGGGGAAUAUUGGACAAUGGGGGGAACCCUGAUCCAGCCAUGCCGCGUGUGUGAAGAAGGCCUUAUGGUUGUAAAGCACUUUAAGCGAGGAGGAGGGUACUGGUAUUAAUACUACCAGCUACUGGACGUUACUCGCAGAAUAAGCACCGGCUAACUCUGUGCCAGCAGCCGCGGUAAUACAGAGGGUGCGAGCGUUAAUCGGAAUUACUGGGCGUAAAGCGCGCGUAGGUGGUUCGUUAAGUUGAAUGUGAAAGCCCCGGGCUCAACCUGGGAACUGCAUCCCAAACUGGCGAGCUAGAGUAGGGCAGAGGGUGGUGGAAUUUCCUGUGUAGCGGUGAAAUGCGUAGAUAUAGGAAGGAACACCAGUGGCGAAGGCGACCACCUGGGCUCAUACUGACACUGAGGUGCGAAAGCGUGGGGAGCAAACAGG